rnacentral:misc_RNA from 1 species
UGAGCACAUUCCACCUGCUUUUAGCCCCAAACCUGCCCCUGAGCACAAGCCACCAACUCACUUUCCUAAGCCACCAAUCCCUGCCCAUAAACCUCCUAGAAAAGAGAAGCCAGGACCAAAGCAUGAGCCAUUUACCCCAGCUGAACCUCCUAAAGUAGAGAAACCAGUACCAGAACACAAGCCACCAACUCUAUCUCCCAAACCAGCAUUUUUGCCACCAAUCCAUAAGCCAUUUCCGCCUUAUGGUCACUUUCCAGCACACCCUCCAACGGAGAGUGGUGAAGCUCCUCAUAAGCCACCACGGAAGACGACGCCUCCCCCCAUUCCACAAAAGAAGCCACCUAGUCCACACCACAAAGCACCUCCACCAACCCAUGCCUACUGAAUUAGUACUGAUGCUGAGAGAUUGCUGGUUAGAAAUAAGAGCUCAUAAGUAGUCACAUAUGCUUUUUAUCUAUAGAACUCAUGUUAUUAUUGCAGUGGUUGCCCUACAGUGGUAGCCAAUGGGCAUAUCCUUAUACUUAUCCUUGUGAAAGCACUGAGUGCUAC